UCAGAUGUGUUCGCCUCUGGGGUGCGUGUGGGGGAUAUGACAGAGGUCUUUACAAUCAUGAAUGAUGUAGAAACGUGACUAGGGAAGUAUUAUUUACCUUCACAUAACAGAAGAACCAGGGGUCACCCCAUGAAAUUAAUAGGCAGCAGGUUUAAAACAAACAUAAGGAAGUACUUCACAAAGCAU